GACGAACGCUGGCGGCGUGCUUAACACAUGCAAGUCGAACGGUGAAGCGCCUUCCUUUUUGGUGGGUGUGGAUGAGUGGCGAACGGGUGAGUAACACGUGAGUAACCUGCCCCCUUCUUCUGGAUAACCGCAUGAAAGUGUGGCUAAUACGGGAUAUUCUGGGUCUGUCGCAUGAUGGGUCUGGGAAAGAUAUUGUUUCGGUGGGGGAUGGGCUCGCGGCCUAUCAGCUUGUUGGUGGGGUGAUGGCCUACCAAGGCGGUGACGGGUAGCCGGCCUGAGAGGGUUGACGGUCACACUGGGACUGAGACACGGCCCAGACUCCUACGGGAGGCAGCAGUGGGGAAUAUUGCACAAUGGGCGCAAGCCUGAUGCAGCGACGCCGCGUGAGGGAUGGAGGCCUUCGGGUUGUGAACCUCUUUCGCCAGUGAAGCAGGCCUGCCUCGUUUGUGGGUGGGUUGACGGUAGCUGGAUAAGAAGCGCCGGCUAACUACGUG
rnacentral:rRNA from 1 species